rnacentral:ncRNA from 2 species
UACUUAUCAAGAGAGGUAGAGGGACUGGCCCGAUGAUACCCGACAACCAGCAUUUAUAGCGAAAUGCAAUGGUGUCAAUUCCAUCAGAUUGUAAAAUCUGAAAGAUAAGGA